CUGGAUAAGAAAAAAUCGAAAACAAAACAAAAUGUAGAAAACGAUAACGCCCAAUUAUAUGCGUGUACGAGCAUAAACCUCACAAUUUUUUUUUUUAAUUUUAAUUUUUACCUUUUAAAAAAAAGGUCCAAAUCGGUAUCUCCUCCUUCGUUUGGUCAAAUAGGAAAGCAAAAUGAUGGGUUUGUGCUUCGAUUAUGCGAAAGUAAGUUGACGAUGAGAGAGAGCACGCUGGUCGGCAAACAUGCAUGGGGACAUGAUUGUCUACCUGCGUGCUCUCUCUCGUUGUCAUCGGCUUCGGUGAAGCUACUGCCCAUCAUUAUUUCUAAUCACUUGUUUCUCAAUUUGGUGACCGGUGGAUCGAUCGAUCGCAUGGGGGUUUACUUGAAAUCAUAGGUUUUAAAAAAUUAAUUUUUGUGCUUGAUUCUGUGCUCAUAAGUGGCAUGGUGGCUAUUGCGUGGCAAGAACACUUGCAAGGUAGAGCAGGUUGCAACCUCUCUCUUGGUUGCCCUCUUCUUCUCUCACUCAUAUCCUUCUCUUUGUCCUUCUUCUUCCUCUUAUUCUUGUUCUUGUUCUUGUUCUUGUUAUUGUUCUUCAUUUUCUUAAGGCGCUAACAACUACUCUGAUGAAGUUGAAGUUAUUGGCGAUCUUGGUCGAAUAUGUUGUCAUCGGAAAAGAGGGGGUGGUUAGAGGCUGGAGCAACGCGAUACCAACUAGAUGAAG